AGAUUACAGUAAUGCCAGAUCUGAUGUAAAAUCCAUCGGAUGACCUAUCUGCUUCUUGUAUUCCCUGCAAAUCAUCACAUUAGUGGAAAUGAGAUAAGCAAAAGAAGAAUUGGAAAAGAAGAAGGUAGGAAGAAAUGAAGGAAGGAAUGAGGAAACUUCACAAAUGAGAACUGUUUCUAAGGUUUCUCCUUGAUGUAUAUAUUGGUUUUGCCGCGUCGUAGAAACUAAAUGCCCCAGGCUAAAAGGUGUAGACCUUCCUCCUUGGAAAGUCCUAAAAUAGUUGUGUCUACUGCCUAAGGAUGCCCCGAGGUUAAAACAAUCUUCAGGUUUUGUUCCGAGAUGCUAUUAUUGUUCAAAAAUGAUUUUCCGAAGUUUUAAACAUACCAUUGCUUUCAGGUCGUCUCCUUUAGGUUUUUCACUGAAUGAGAUAACUCUUCCUUUGUCAUCUAUCUUCAUAAGCCCAAAAUCUGAGGCACGUCUACCAUGUAAAUAGAAAGAGACUAUAAGAAAUCAUGAUCUUUGAUUCAGUAUGAUAAGUUGGGGUAAAAAUGAAAGGAUCUAUAUACUCUUUUGCAUUCACCUGUCAUCUAUUGGUAUGCAGGAAAUGCUUAUAUCCGCGCCACUCUGCCGAUGAUCCUGCAGAUUGAAGUUCAUGGCAUGAGUCUCGGAGAGUAACUACCUCUUGAUGAAGGACAUGAGCUCAAGUAAUUUUGUCUCACCUGUAUAAAAUCCAUGUAAUCCAUCCUGUAGAGGUGAUCUCCAGAAAGGAUCAAUACAUCCUCUAUGUCCUUGCUUCUUGCAUCCUAUGAAAAGAAUGUUGGACCGCUUGUCUAUUGAUGUGAUGAUAAGCUAGUUUAAGUCUGAUUUCUACCUCGAAAAGCCAAUGGAAUUGCCGAACCGCAUCUGCUGUACCUUGGAACCACCUUUUACCAGAUUCUCCUGGCGUUUGAGUGGCCGCAAGAACCUGAAUUUUUUCAAACAAUUGCCUCAGAUGCAUCAAACCAGUUUGGCUCGUAAUGGAUGAUUAAGACAGAAUAUCAAACCUCAACAUAGCCAUCUCCAAAGCCAAGUCCAUUGGAGUUGUAAGCACGGGCUAAAUGCCUGUUCAAUGAUGCUGAGUUAUAUUGUGU